rnacentral:lncRNA from 1 species
CAAAAUCAACGCUAGGGUCACCGCCCUCAAUCGCGUUCCACUGCAUUCUCAUUACCUGAAAUGUUACGUAUAACUACGUUUUAAGCACUAGACUGGUGUAAGUCAAGUUAUUAUUAAUAUAAUAAGUGCCCAUAAAAUUAUUAAAAUAUCAAUUAAUUUUAAACAUGAAAUCAAUUUUCAAACCUCAGGCUCAUAUAGGUCGAUCCUUUAAUUUCAAAAUCUUGGUCAUCGUGUCAAGCACCCUUGACAGAUAACUUACUUUUGUCAAUUAUUUUUUCCUAUCAAUCUUGACUCAUUAGGCCCAUUUUCAUUACCUGAUUUCAUAUCAAGAAUUCAAAAUUGUAUUAGAUGACCCUUGCGCCACAUGCACUUGUUCAGCAAUAUCACCCGAAUCGAGAGAGACCCCAAAUAUAAUAUGCGGCAUGAUAUCACCCGAGAUUAUUGGCCAUGAUCCUCUUUAUUAUAUCACUCUCGCUAUAUUCUUUUUCCCUAGCGAACGGGGCAUGUUUCGAACCAUAUGUCGUUUAAAAUAUACUUUUCUAAAAUAAUCAUUUUUCAUAUUCCAUGCCAUAUUUAAAACAUAGCAUGCAUUUAAUUAUAAAAUGUCAUCAUGUUUAAUCAAUAAAAACAUACAUGCUUUCACCACAAAACUUGUACUUUUAAGUAAGUAAAAUAUAACAAGACUCACUUUAUACUUAUUUCACGUUCUUCCUUUCUAUGCUCACUAGUGAACUAAAGUAACGGUUUUCGAGUUCCGGUCCUAUAAUUAGAGAUUCCGAAUUUAAUAUCUCGCAUUCAAUACACACUCUAUUUGCCUAAAUAUAUCAUCAUUUAGUACGCCGAGCCUAAGGGUAUAAGAAUUGUAUAGGAUAGUCGAAUAGAUAAGUUUUUCUGAAAAAUUAUUUUUUGUCAAAAAAUUGGGUAAGUAUAGAAAAGUGAAUUAUUAAAAUAUUAUUUUCUUCAAAUCAUUUUUUCAGUAAUUGUUUCAUGUACAUUGAAUAGUCAAAACUGAUUUUAUGAGAUUUUUAUACCAAGGUAUACCCUCCAUAAUAAGAAAAAUCAUUUUUAAAAAAUUAUCGAAAACUAUUUUUGUACUAAAACUGAAAAUUUAUUUUUUUAUUUAAUGAGAUUUAUAUUUUUUAGUAUUUUUUUAUUGAAUCCAAAUGGAGGGUAGUUUUUUAUUUAUAUUGUAAAUUUAAAGUAAAAGAAAAUGUAAGAGUUUAUGACUUUUAUUUAAAUGUUUUCAAUGAAAAUAAGUAUUCUGGUAAAGUACUGUGCCAACAGUAAAGGUUCAGUUGGUCAAAAGCUGUGUUCUGUCAAGUUCAACUAGUUGAGAUAAAAAAAUUCAACCGGUUGGACAAGAAUAGAGACUUAAGACUUAAUGUUCAACUGGUUGGGAGAAAAUUGUUCAACCGAUUGGGCAAGAACAAAGACUUAAGAUUUAAUAUUCAACUGUUUGAGAGAAAAAUGUUCAACCGGUUGGGCAAGAAUAGAGACUUAAAAUUUAAUAUUCAACUGGUUCAACUGAAAAACAGCGAGUUGGUUCUUUUAUUUUUCUGGAUUAAAUUCCAAGACUGUUUUGGGCCAAUAAACAUUUAAAUUAGAAAAAAACACGUAAAAUAAAAGUUGUAAGUAUUUGAAAUAUCUUUCAUACGUAAUUUGAAUUAAGUCAAAAUGUUAUUGUAUGAGGGAGUUAAGCUUAAAAUACUAACUAUUUUGAUAAAAAAUGUGACUUAACUUUUAUUGGAUUUUAAUCCUACCACAUCGUAUACGUGUCAUAUUCUCGACGUAUUAUCGAACUUUAAUCAUGAUAGGUUUUUAUCCCAAAUUCUUCAUCACCGUAUUUAGUGAAAGAAACUUACAAAACGAUAGGAAAAAGACGAGAUUUUACCUGAGUUCGGAGAAAAUCAAGAAAUCUUUUUCACCUCUCUUUUUCUCCUCUCUUCCUUCCUUCCUCUUCCUCUAUCAAUCUUUCUCUCAGCUCUCUCUUUUUCUCUCUUUCUUUCUCUUUCUCUUCCUUUCUUUCUCUCCUCUCUCAUG